CAUACUUAAGAGGAAAACAUCCUUGGUAUGUUUACUUUAUUUGUGAUGAAUCAUCAUACAAGGACAAUUUCUUUUAGAGUAUC
rnacentral:pre_miRNA from 1 species